rnacentral:rRNA from 1 species
CUUGACUUAUAAUAAGAGGUCCAGCCUGCCCAGUGAAUUUUUAACGGCCGCGGUAUCCUAACCGCGCGAAGGUAGCAUAAUCACUUGUUCUUUAAAUGGGGACUCGUAUCAACGGCAUCACGAGGGUUUUACUGUCUCCUCUUUUUGAUCAGUGAAAUUGAUCUUCCCGUGAAGAAGCGGGAAUAAUCCUAUAAGACGAGAAGACCCCAUGGAGCUUUAAACCAAAUAACAACUUAACCACUUACCCCACUAGAAAUUUAAGCCCUGUUAUAAGGUUUUUGGUUGGGGUGACCGCGGAGUAAAGAACAUCCUCCACGACGGAAAGAACACAAUCUUUAUUUAAGAACCACAAUUCUAGAAAUUAGUAUACUAACGUUUACUGACCCGAUAAUCGAUCAACGGACCA